rnacentral:rRNA from 1 species
UACGAAGGGGGCUAGCGUUGCUCGGAAUCACUGGGCGUAAAGCGCACGUAGGCGGCUUUUUAAGUCAGGGGUGAAAUCCUGGAGCUCAACUCCAGAACUGCCUUUGAUACUGGGAAGCUCGAGUCCGGGAGAGGUGAGUGGAACUCCGAGUGUAGAGGUGAAAUUCGUAGAUAUUGGGAAGAACACCAGUGGCGAAGGCGGCUCACUGGCCGGUCCUGACGCUGAGACGCGAAGGCGUGGGGAGCGAACGAG